GGGGGCGACCGGAAUCGAUUGUGUAAGUGACCCCGUAGCUGCGCGCCCAGGUCCUCGGGUUCCUGGUAAAACACUCGGGAAAGAUCCAACUGCGAACAACAACUUCGCUCUUGCUGCGUAACUCUUAGUUACGUCCAGCAGUGCCUAUCAGGAAGCCCUCCCGGGGCGGCUUGAUUGGUAUCGCAAAUCCGGGAUAGCCUGGCGGCGCGCCUUCCGUCGUUGGGCGAAACUCUAGAAGGCUCAUCCAACGAUGGGCGGCCCACUGGCCAGCCGUUGGAAACAUCAAUCGGUGGGAUACGCGCGUAGACGUUGCGGAAGAUCCUAUGCAAGACGGGAGUUCGAAUCUCCCCGCCUCCACGU
rnacentral:tmRNA from 1 species